rnacentral:rRNA from 1 species
AGUGAACGCUGGCGGCAGGCCUAACACAUGCAAGUCGAACGGCAGCACAAGAGAGCUUGCUCUCUGGGUGGCGAGUGGCGGACGGGUGAGGCAUGCAUCGGAAUCUGCCCAUUUGUGGGGGAUAACCUCGGGCAACCGGGACUAAUACCGCAUACGACCUACGGGUGAAAGCAGGGGAUCUUCGGACCUUGCGCAGAUGGAUGAGCCGAUGCCGGAUUAGCUAGUUGGAGGGGUAAAGGCACACCAAGGGGGCGAUCCGUAGCUGGUGUGAGGGGAUGAUAAGCGACACGGGGACUGAGACAGGGCCCAGACGCCUACGGGAGGCAGCAGUGGGGAAUAGUGGACAAUGGGCGCAAGCCUGAUCCAGCCAUGCCGCGUGUGUGAAGAAGGCCUUCGGGUUGUAAAGCACGUUUGUUGGGAAAGAAAAGCAGCCGGUUAAUACCCGGUUGUCAUGACGGUACCCAAAGAAUAAGCACCGGCUAACUUCGUG